UGCUGUAAUAUCCCCCACUUUUAAAAAUGUAUUAAUAAGGAUUUAUAUGUAAAUUGGGGGACCUAUAUGUAAAUAUAGAAAUUACAAGGACUAAACUGCUAAGUUGCAAAAAGAAAAAAAAAAAGAAAAGGAAAAACCGAAAAUUCGGUAUUAUCCCACCGCCUCCCACGCACUCUGUUUCUUUCCAGAAACAGAGAGAGCGGUGGGGCGUGAGGAGAAGAAGGAGAGUGGUUGAAGAAAAGAAGAAGAAGAGGGAAAAGAAGAGAGGAGGAAGAAGAGAGGAAGAAGAGGGAGAAGAGAAGAAGAUGAAGAAGAAGAAGAAGAGGAGGUGGCUGCAGCGAGGGCUGCAGCGAGAAGCUGUGGGGCGUGGGGAGAAGAAGAGAGGAAGAAGAGGGAGAAGAGAAGAAGAAGAAGAAGAAGAAGAAGAAGAAGAAGAGAGGAGGAUAGCUGCGGCAAGGCUGCAGCGAGGAGGUGUGUGGCUUUGGGGAGGAAAAGGGAAGAGGAGAAGAAGAGAAGGAGAAGAAGAGGGAAAAGAGAGGCAGCUGCAGCAGCCAGGGCUGCAGCACCUCUGUUUCCCGCAGGUGGAAACAGAGGAGAGGAUGUGUGGGGCGUUGAGGAUGAAAAGGGAAGAAGAAGAAGAAGAAGAAGAAGAAGAAGAUAGCUGCGGCAAGGCUGCAGCGAGGAGAUGUGUGGCCUUGGGGAGGAAAAGGGAAGAGGGGAAGAGGAGAAGAAGAAGAAGAGGAAGAGAAAGAGGUGUGAUACCUCUGUUUCCUGCAGAGGAAACAGAGGAGAGGGUGUGUGUGACGCCGGGGAAGAAGGGGCUGCAGUUGCGGCGAUGGCAGCUGCAGCUGGAAGAGAAGAAGAAGAGGAAGAUGAGCAGGGGAGGAGGGAGAGGUUGCGGCCGUGGCUGCGGCCGCGACUGCAGCAGUUGCAGCGGGGAGAGAAGAAGAAGAGAGGAAGGAGAAGGAAGAGGAGAAGGGAAAGAAGUAGCUGCGGCUGCGGUUGUGGCAGCUGCAGCUAUGGCAGGGAAAGAGGAAGAGAAAAAGGAAAGGAAGAAGAAGAGAAAGGGAAGGAGAGGAAGAAGAGAGGAAGAGGAGAAGGGGCUGCAGCUGCGGCGAUGGCAGCUGCAGCUGUGGCAGGGAAAGAGAAAAAGGAAAGGAAGAAGAAGAGAAAGGGAAGGAGAGGAAGAAGAGAGGAAGAGGAGAAGGGGCUGCGGCUGCGAUGAUGGCAGCUGCAGCUGUGGCUGGGAAAGAAGAGAAGGAAAGGAAGAAGAAGAGAAAGGGAAGGAGAGGAAGAAGAGAGGAAGAGGAGAAGGGGUGGCAGCUGCGGCAGUGGCAGCUGCAGUUGGAAGAGGAGGAGGAAAUAGAGCAGGGGAGGAAGAAGAGGCUGCGACGUUGAAAUCAGUUUGUUGCAAACUCUGAGUGUGGUGGCUGCGGCCGUGGCUGCGACUCCGGCUGCGGCUGCGACGUUGGCUGCGGUAGCUGCGGCAGCGGUGGUGGCUGCAGUAGCUGCAGUAGCUGCUUUUGGGAAAGAGAAAGAGUAGGAACGAUAGAAGGGAAGAAGGAAAUAGUGCAGUGGAAGGGGGCUGCGGUUGUGACCGCAGUUGCGAUUGUGGCAGCGGCAGCGGCGGCGGCUGUGGCAGCUGCGUUUGGGAAAGAAAAAGAAGGAAUGAGAGUAAGAGAGAGCAGGUGACUGUGCCUCGAUGUUCGACACGUGAUGUAGUUACGAAGAAAGGAAGAAAACGGGAGCACAAAACGAAACAGAGAGAGGACACGGAGGAAAAGUAGAAAGAUUGGACUGGCACCUUCCUUGGAUAUUCAGAUCAAAAUAUUUGAAAGGUCAGCUUGUCACUCUUCGAGAUGUUUGAUUUGGGCUGAGGCAGUGGAUAGCUAUUCAGAAUAAUGGGCAAGUCUGGUUGGUUAUUACGAUAUUGUUGUAUAAGUAUGCCUUGUAUGUAAUGAAAUGUUGUCGAUGAACCGAAAUGGAUAUACUGUGUCAAAGUGUUAGGAGAUCUCUCUUAUUUGGAAUUUCUGAAUGUUAAGCCUAAUUUAUAAUGAUAUGAACUUGUGGUGAAUAGUUGGAGUUCUGAUUGUAUAAAUUAUUUAGCUUGUGGAUUUAUAAAUAUUGUUCAUGUUUGUCAAGUUGGCUUGGGUUGCCAUAAAUGUGAAUUAUUGAGUGAUGUGAUAUAUGAUUAUAAACUGCACAGGUUUUAUGGAUGUGAAUAUGAAUAGAAUGUUUUUCAGUGUCCUCAAACGUUAGUUUGGAUCCUGGAUUGGUCUGUGAUGAAAAAUUUUAAAAAUCAUGGAUAUUUUGAGGGGCGUGACAGAGGUGGUAUCAGAGCAUUGUUUGAGGAUUACUGAAAUAUUUGAUAUGUUGACGUGCAAAAUAUAUUGAGGUCUAAUGAACUAUAGUGAUUGGUGGAAAUUUUCUUUGCUGCAUUUUAGGAAUCUGGGAUGAUGAGGACAUUGGUCCUCCUAUAUCAUUUGUUUCUGAUUAAUUAAGGGGAAUGAAAGGAUUGAUUGGGGAUAUUGAAUCAGAGUGGCGCAGCAGAAGCAUGAUGAACCUAAUUUCAUUGGUGGUAGAAAAAUGGAUGAUGCAAAUGGAGAAGAUAUUUGAUAUACAAAAUUGUUCUGAUACUCGAAAGAUUUCUUUUGCCACGUUAUAUUGGAAGUAAAGACUUAUUAUUGACGGCAACAAUGAAAAGAAUUUUUGAGGAUCAAUGGCAAGAAUGACAAGAACAAGUUUACCAAUAAAAAUAUGAUUGGAAAUGAAUCAGUAAGUAACAACAAGAGAGUCAAGACAUUUGGAUUUGAAAUGGGAAGUCAUCACAAAAGACUCAAGUUAAAUUAAUUAUGUUUGUGCGUGACUAGAGCCUAUUUUGCUUAUGGAAAGUUUGAUCAUAAAAUAAAAGUUUGCCCUUUGAACAAGAAGAAAGAGUCACUGCCUCCUAAAUCAUCAGCCCAUGUCAGAGUGUAUGCUAUCACUGAAUAUGAUUCUAAGACUUCUGAAUUAGUGGUCGAAGGUAUUAUGUAUGUUUAUGAAAGAAUGCAAAUAUUUGUUUGAACAUGGGUUCUAUCUACGAUUUGAUUCGUAACAUAUUGCCUAUCACUUGGGUAUUCAACCUAGACCACUGUAUUAUGUGAUAUAUGUAAGUACAAUCAUUGGAGAUUCUUUGAUAACGAACUUGAAUCUGGUCCUCUUGUUUGGAUUUUGUUGGAGAACUUGAACUUUUGCUGAUUUAGUUCUCCUAGAGAUUUGGAGUUAUGAUAUUAUACUUGGUAUGCAUUGGCUAUCUUCUUAUCAUACCAGUAUGGAUUGGUAUAUAACAAAUGAUCACUUUUUGCAUAUUUGAUCAACCGAUCUUUUAUUUUGAGAGUAUUGGACAUUAUUUAUCUCCUUGCCUAAUGUAUCCCAGGAUGACUUGUUCGGAUUACCUCCAAAUGUGAUUUUACUUUUGAUUUGGUCCUUGGGACAAUCCUAAAAUCUAAGCCUCUCUACAGAAAGAUAUCAUCUGAGUAAGUGGAAUUGGAAAAGCAACUACAAGGAUUAUUAAAUGAGGAUUUUAUUUGGCUAAAUAUUUUAUCAUGGGGUGCUCUGGUGUUAGUUAAAAAGAUGGAUGGAACAUGGAGGCUUUGUAUUGAUUAUGGAUAUUUGAAUCAGGUGAUCAUCAAAAACGAGUAUUUUCUGAAGUAACGAUUUGCUUGAUUAAUUACAGGUGCGCAAGUAUUUUUGAAAGAUUGAUUGAAGGUCGGGUUUACCAUCUAUUGAGAAUCAAGAAGGAGAAUAUUUCAGUCACUCUUGGAAAAUUGUGUAAUUGUAUUGAAUUGAUGAAAUUAUUUAAGAGUAGGAGGAGGAAAUAAAGAAAUCAUAAUCCUCAUCUUUUCAUCGAUUGAGCUAUGACCAAUUUAGAGGACUAAAUUUUCUUUUAAGGGGGGGAGAGUGUAAUAUCCCCCACUUUUAAAAAUGUAUUAAUAAGGAUUUAUAUGUAAAUUGGGGGACCUAUAUGUAAAUAUAGAAAUUACAAGGACUAAACUGCUAAGUUGCAAAAAGAAAAAAAAAAAGAAAAGGAAAAACCGAAAAUUCGGUAUUAUCCCACCGCCUCCCACGCACUCUGUUUCUUUCCAGAAACAGAGAGAGCGGUGGGGCGUGAGGAGAAGAAGGAGAGUGGUUGAAGAAAAGAAGAAGAAGAGGGAAAAGAAGAGAGGAGGAAGAAGAGAGGAAGAAGAGGGAGAAGAGAAGAAGAUGAAGAAGAAGAAGAAGAGGAGGUGGCUGCAGCGAGGGCUGCAGCGAGAAGCUGUGGGGCGUGGGGAGAAGAAGAGAGGAAGAAGAGGGAGAAGAGAAGAAGAAGAAGAAGAAGAAGAAGAAGAAGAAGAGAGGAGGAUAGCUGCGGCAAGGCUGCAGCGAGGAGGUGUGUGGCUUUGGGGAGGAAAAGGGAAGAGGAGAAGAAGAGAAGGAGAAGAAGAGGGAAAAGAGAGGCAGCUGCAGCAGCCAGGGCUGCAGCACCUCUGUUUCCCGCAGGUGGAAACAGAGGAGAGGAUGUGUGGGGCGUUGAGGAUGAAAAGGGAAGAAGAAGAAGAAGAAGAAGAAGAAGAAGAUAGCUGCGGCAAGGCUGCAGCGAGGAGAUGUGUGGCCUUGGGGAGGAAAAGGGAAGAGGGGAAGAGGAGAAGAAGAAGAAGAGGAAGAGAAAGAGGUGUGAUACCUCUGUUUCCUGCAGAGGAAACAGAGGAGAGGGUGUGUGUGACGCCGGGGAAGAAGGGGCUGCAGUUGCGGCGAUGGCAGCUGCAGCUGGAAGAGAAGAAGAAGAGGAAGAUGAGCAGGGGAGGAGGGAGAGGUUGCGGCCGUGGCUGCGGCCGCGACUGCAGCAGUUGCAGCGGGGAGAGAAGAAGAAGAGAGGAAGGAGAAGGAAGAGGAGAAGGGAAAGAAGUAGCUGCGGCUGCGGUUGUGGCAGCUGCAGCUAUGGCAGGGAAAGAGGAAGAGAAAAAGGAAAGGAAGAAGAAGAGAAAGGGAAGGAGAGGAAGAAGAGAGGAAGAGGAGAAGGGGCUGCAGCUGCGGCGAUGGCAGCUGCAGCUGUGGCAGGGAAAGAGAAAAAGGAAAGGAAGAAGAAGAGAAAGGGAAGGAGAGGAAGAAGAGAGGAAGAGGAGAAGGGGCUGCGGCUGCGAUGAUGGCAGCUGCAGCUGUGGCUGGGAAAGAAGAGAAGGAAAGGAAGAAGAAGAGAAAGGGAAGGAGAGGAAGAAGAGAGGAAGAGGAGAAGGGGUGGCAGCUGCGGCAGUGGCAGCUGCAGUUGGAAGAGGAGGAGGAAAUAGAGCAGGGGAGGAAGAAGAGGCUGCGACGUUGAAAUCAGUUUGUUGCAAACUCUGAGUGUGGUGGCUGCGGCCGUGGCUGCGACUCCGGCUGCGGCUGCGACGUUGGCUGCGGUAGCUGCGGCAGCGGUGGUGGCUGCAGUAGCUGCAGUAGCUGCUUUUGAGAAAGAGAAAGAGUAGGAACGAUAGAAGGGAAGAAGGAAAUAGUGCAGUGGAAGGGGGCUGCGGUUGUGACCGCAGUUGCGAUUGUGGCAGCGGCAGCGGCGGCGGCUGUGGCAGCUGCGUUUGGGAAAGAAAAAGAAGGAAUGAGAGUAAGAGAGAGCAGGUGACUGUGCCUCGAUGUUCGACACGUGAUGUAGUUACGAAGAAAGGAAGAAAACGGGAGCACAAAACGAAACAGAGAGAGGACACGGAGGAAAAGUAGAAAGAUUGGACUGGCACCUUCCUUGGAUAUUCAGAUCAAAAUAUUUGAAAGGUCAGCUUGUCACUCUUCGAGAUGUUUGAUUUGGGCUGAGGCAGUGGAUAGCUAUUCAGAAUAAUGGGCAAGUCUGGUUGGUUAUUACGAUAUUGUUGUAUAAGUAUGCCUUGUAUGUAAUGAAAUGUUGUCGAUGAACCGAAAUGGAUAUACUGUGUCAAAGUGUUAGGAGAUCUCUCUUAUUUGGAAUUUCUGAAUGUUAAGCCUAAUUUAUAAUGAUAUGAACUUGUGGUGAAUAGUUGGAGUUCUGAUUGUAUAAAUUAUUUAGCUUGUGGAUUUAUAAAUAUUGUUCAUGUUUGUCAAGUUGGCUUGGGUUGCCAUAAAUGUGAAUUAUUGAGUGAUGUGAUAUAUGAUUAUAAACUGCACAGGUUUUAUGGAUGUGAAUAUGAAUAGAAUGUUUUUCAGUGUCCUCAAACGUUAGUUUGGAUCCUGGAUUGGUCUGUGAUGAAAAAUUUUAAAAAUCAUGGAUAUUUUGAGGGGCGUGACAGAGGUGGUAUCAGAGCAUUGUUUGAGGAUUACUGAAAUAUUUGAUAUGUUGACGUGCAAAAUAUAUUGAGGUCUAAUGAACUAUAGUGAUUGGUGGAAAUUUUCUUUGCUGCAUUUUAGGAAUCUGGGAUGAUGAGGACAUUGGUCCUCCUAUAUCAUUUGUUUCUGAUUAAUUAAGGGGAAUGAAAGGAUUGAUUGGGGAUAUUGAAUCAGAGUGGCGCAGCAGAAGCAUGAUGAACCUAAUUUCAUUGGUGGUAGAAAAAUGGAUGAUGCAAAUGGAGAAGAUAUUUGAUAUACAAAAUUGUUCUGAUACUCGAAAGAUUUCUUUUGCCACGUUAUAUUGGAAGUAAAGACUUAUUAUUGACGGCAACAAUGAAAAGAAUUUUUGAGGAUCAAUGGCAAGAAUGACAAGAACAAGUUUACCAAUAAAAAUAUGAUUGGAAAUGAAUCAGUAAGUAACAACAAGAGAGUCAAGACAUUUGGAUUUGAAAUGGGAAGUCAUCACAAAAGACUCAAGUUAAAUUAAUUAUGUUUGUGCGUGACUAGAGCCUAUUUUGCUUAUGGAAAGUUUGAUCAUAAAAUAAAAGUUUGCCCUUUGAACAAGAAGAAAGAGUCACUGCCUCCUAAAUCAUCAGCCCAUGUCAGAGUGUAUGCUAUCACUGAAUAUGAUUCUAAGACUUCUGAAUUAGUGGUCGAAGGUAUUAUGUAUGUUUAUGAAAGAAUGCAAAUAUUUGUUUGAACAUGGGUUCUAUCUACGAUUUGAUUCGUAACAUAUUGCCUAUCACUUGGGUAUUCAACCUAGACCACUGUAUUAUGUGAUAUAUGUAAGUACAAUCAUUGGAGAUUCUUUGAUAACGAACUUGAAUCUGGUCCUCUUGUUUGGAUUUUGUUGGAGAACUUGAACUUUUGCUGAUUUAGUUCUCCUAGAGAUUUGGAGUUAUGAUAUUAUACUUGGUAUGCAUUGGCUAUCUUCUUAUCAUACCAGUAUGGAUUGGUAUAUAACAAAUGAUCACUUUUUGCAUAUUUGAUCAACCGAUCUUUUAUUUUGAGAGUAUUGGACAUUAUUUAUCUCCUUGCCUAAUGUAUCCCAGGAUGACUUGUUCGGAUUACCUCCAAAUGUGAUUUUACUUUUGAUUUGGUCCUUGGGACAAUCCUAAAAUCUAAGCCUCUCUACAGAAAGAUAUCAUCUGAGUAAGUGGAAUUGGAAAAGCAACUACAAGGAUUAUUAAAUGAGGAUUUUAUUUGGCUAAAUAUUUUAUCAUGGGGUGCUCUGGUGUUAGUUAAAAAGAUGGAUGGAACAUGGAGGCUUUGUAUUGAUUAUGGAUAUUUGAAUCAGGUGAUCAUCAAAAACGAGUAUUUUCUGAAGUAACGAUUUGCUUGAUUAAUUACAGGUGCGCAAGUAUUUUUGAAAGAUUGAUUGAAGGUCGGGUUUACCAUCUAUUGAGAAUCAAGAAGGAGAAUAUUUCAGUCACUCUUGGAAAAUUGUGUAAUUGUAUUGAAUUGAUGAAAUUAUUUAAGAGUAGGAGGAGGAAAUAAAGAAAUCAUAAUCCUCAUCUUUUCAUCGAUUGAGCUAUGACCAAUUUAGAGGACUAAAUUUUCUUUUAAGGGGGGGAGAGUGUAAUAUCCCCCACUUUUAAAAAUGUAUUAAUAAGGAUUUAUAUGUAAAUUGGGGGACCUAUAUGUAAAUAUAGAAAUUACAAGGACUAAACUGCUAAGUUGCAAAAAGAAAAAAAAAAAGAAAAGGAAAAACCGAAAAUUCGGUAUUAUCCCACCGCCUCCCACGCACUCUGUUUCUUUCCAGAAACAGAGAGAGCGGUGGGGCGUGAGGAGAAGAAGGAGAGUGGUUGAAGAAAAGAAGAAGAAGAGGGAAAAGAAGAGAGGAGGAAGAAGAGAGGAAGAAGAGGGAGAAGAGAAGAAGAUGAAGAAGAAGAAGAAGAGGAGGUGGCUGCAGCGAGGGCUGCAGCGAGAAGCUGUGGGGCGUGGGGAGAAGAAGAGAGGAAGAAGAGGGAGAAGAGAAGAAGAAGAAGAAGAAGAAGAAGAAGAAGAAGAAGAAGAAGAGAGGAGGAUAGCUGCGGCAAGGCUGCAGCGAGGAGGUGUGUGGCUUUGGGGAGGAAAAGGGAAGAGGAGAAGAAGAGAAGGAGAAGAAGAGGGAAAAGAGAGGCAGCUGCAGCAGCCAGGGCUGCAGCACCUCUGUUUCCCGCAGGUGGAAACAGAGGAGAGGAUGUGUGGGGCGUUGAGGAUGAAAAGGGAAGAAGAAGAAGAAGAAGAAGAAGAAGAAGAUAGCUGCGGCAAGGCUGCAGCGAGGAGAUGUGUGGCCUUGGGGAGGAAAAGGGAAGAGGGGAAGAGGAGAAGAAGAAGAAGAGGAAGAGAAAGAGGUGUGAUACCUCUGUUUCCUGCAGAGGAAACAGAGGAGAGGGUGUGUGUGACGCCGGGGAAGAAGGGGCUGCAGUUGCGGCGAUGGCAGCUGCAGCUGGAAGAGAAGAAGAAGAGGAAGAUGAGCAGGGGAGGAGGGAGAGGUUGCGGCCGUGGCUGCGGCCGCGACUGCAGCAGUUGCAGCGGGGAGAGAAGAAGAAGAGAGGAAGGAGAAGGAAGAGGAGAAGGGAAAGAAGUAGCUGCGGCUGCGGUUGUGGCAGCUGCAGCUAUGGCAGGGAAAGAGGAAGAGAAAAAGGAAAGGAAGAAGAAGAGAAAGGGAAGGAGAGGAAGAAGAGAGGAAGAGGAGAAGGGGCUGCAGCUGCGGCGAUGGCAGCUGCAGCUGUGGCAGGGAAAGAGAAAAAGGAAAGGAAGAAGAAGAGAAAGGGAAGGAGAGGAAGAAGAGAGGAAGAGGAGAAGGGGCUGCGGCUGCGAUGAUGGCAGCUGCAGCUGUGGCUGGGAAAGAAGAGAAGGAAAGGAAGAAGAAGAGAAAGGGAAGGAGAGGAAGAAGAGAGGAAGAGGAGAAGGGGUGGCAGCUGCGGCAGUGGCAGCUGCAGUUGGAAGAGGAGGAGGAAAUAGAGCAGGGGAGGAAGAAGAGGCUGCGACGUUGAAAUCAGUUUGUUGCAAACUCUGAGUGUGGUGGCUGCGGCCGUGGCUGCGACUCCGGCUGCGGCUGCGACGUUGGCUGCGGUAGCUGCGGCAGCGGUGGUGGCUGCAGUAGCUGCAGUAGCUGCUUUUGGGAAAGAGAAAGAGUAGGAACGAUAGAAGGGAAGAAGGAAAUAGUGCAGUGGAAGGGGGCUGCGGUUGUGACCGCAGUUGCGAUUGUGGCAGCGGCAGCGGCGGCGGCUGUGGCAGCUGCGUUUGGGAAAGAAAAAGAAGGAAUGAGAGUAAGAGAGAGCAGGUGACUGUGCCUCGAUGUUCGACACGUGAUGUAGUUACGAAGAAAGGAAGAAAACGGGAGCACAAAACGAAACAGAGAGAGGACACGGAGGAAAAGUAGAAAGAUUGGACUGGCACCUUCCUUGGAUAUUCAGAUCAAAAUAUUUGAAAGGUCAGCUUGUCACUCUUCGAGAUGUUUGAUUUGGGCUGAGGCAGUGGAUAGCUAUUCAGAAUAAUGGGCAAGUCUGGUUGGUUAUUACGAUAUUGUUGUAUAAGUAUGCCUUGUAUGUAAUGAAAUGUUGUCGAUGAACCGAAAUGGAUAUACUGUGUCAAAGUGUUAGGAGAUCUCUCUUAUUUGGAAUUUCUGAAUGUUAAGCCUAAUUUAUAAUGAUAUGAACUUGUGGUGAAUAGUUGGAGUUCUGAUUGUAUAAAUUAUUUAGCUUGUGGAUUUAUAAAUAUUGUUCAUGUUUGUCAAGUUGGCUUGGGUUGCCAUAAAUGUGAAUUAUUGAGUGAUGUGAUAUAUGAUUAUAAACUGCACAGGUUUUAUGGAUGUGAAUAUGAAUAGAAUGUUUUUCAGUGUCCUCAAACGUUAGUUUGGAUCCUGGAUUGGUCUGUGAUGAAAAAUUUUAAAAAUCAUGGAUAUUUUGAGGGGCGUGACAGAGGUGGUAUCAGAGCAUUGUUUGAGGAUUACUGAAAUAUUUGAUAUGUUGACGUGCAAAAUAUAUUGAGGUCUAAUGAACUAUAGUGAUUGGUGGAAAUUUUCUUUGCUGCAUUUUAGGAAUCUGGGAUGAUGAGGACAUUGGUCCUCCUAUAUCAUUUGUUUCUGAUUAAUUAAGGGGAAUGAAAGGAUUGAUUGGGGAUAUUGAAUCAGAGUGGCGCAGCAGAAGCAUGAUGAACCUAAUUUCAUUGGUGGUAGAAAAAUGGAUGAUGCAAAUGGAGAAGAUAUUUGAUAUACAAAAUUGUUCUGAUACUCGAAAGAUUUCUUUUGCCACGUUAUAUUGGAAGUAAAGACUUAUUAUUGACGGCAACAAUGAAAAGAAUUUUUGAGGAUCAAUGGCAAGAAUGACAAGAACAAGUUUACCAAUAAAAAUAUGAUUGGAAAUGAAUCAGUAAGUAACAACAAGAGAGUCAAGACAUUUGGAUUUGAAAUGGGAAGUCAUCACAAAAGACUCAAGUUAAAUUAAUUAUGUUUGUGCGUGACUAGAGCCUAUUUUGCUUAUGGAAAGUUUGAUCAUAAAAUAAAAGUUUGCCCUUUGAACAAGAAGAAAGAGUCACUGCCUCCUAAAUCAUCAGCCCAUGUCAGAGUGUAUGCUAUCACUGAAUAUGAUUCUAAGACUUCUGAAUUAGUGGUCGAAGGUAUUAUGUAUGUUUAUGAAAGAAUGCAAAUAUUUGUUUGAACAUGGGUUCUAUCUACGAUUUGAUUCGUAACAUAUUGCCUAUCACUUGGGUAUUCAACCUAGACCACUGUAUUAUGUGAUAUAUGUAAGUACAAUCAUUGGAGAUUCUUUGAUAACGAACUUGAAUCUGGUCCUCUUGUCUGGAUUUUGUUGGAGAACUUGAACUUUUGCUGAUUUAGUUCUCCUAGAGAUUUGGAGUUAUGAUAUUAUACUUGGUAUGCAUUGGCUAUCUUCUUAUCAUACCAGUAUGGAUUGGUAUAUAACAAAUGAUCACUUUUUGCAUAUUUGAUCAACCGAUCUUUUAUUUUGAGAGUAUUGGACAUUAUUUAUCUCCUUGCCUAAUGUAUCCCAGGAUGACUUGUUCGGAUUACCUCCAAAUGUGAUUUUACUUUUGAUUUGGUCCUUGGGACAAUCCUAAAAUCUAAGCCUCUCUACAGAAAGAUAUCAUCUGAGUAAGUGGAAUUGGAAAAGCAACUACAAGGAUUAUUAAAUGAGGAUUUUAUUUGGCUAAAUAUUUUAUCAUGGGGUGCUCUGGUGUUAGUUAAAAAGAUGGAUGGAACAUGGAGGCUUUGUAUUGAUUAUGGAUAUUUGAAUCAGGUGAUCAUCAAAAACGAGUAUUUUCUGAAGUAACGAUUUGCUUGAUUAAUUACAGGUGCGCAAGUAUUUUUGAAAGAUUGAUUGAAGGUCGGGUUUACCAUCUAUUGAGAAUCAAGAAGGAGAAUAUUUCAGUCACUCUUGGAAAAUUGUGUAAUUGUAUUGAAUUGAUGAAAUUAUUUAAGAGUAGGAGGAGGAAAUAAAGAAAUCAUAAUCCUCAUCUUUUCAUCGAUUGAGCUAUGACCAAUUUAGAGGACUAAAUUUUCUUUUAAGGGGGGGAGAGUGUAAUAUCCCCCACUUUUAAAAAUGUAUUAAUAAGGAUUUAUAUGUAAAUUGGGGGACCUAUAUGUAAAUAUAGAAAUUACAAGGACUAAACUGCUAAGUUGCAAAAAGAAAAAAAAAAAGAAAAGGAAAAACCGAAAAUUCGGUAUUAUCCCACCGCCUCCCACGCACUCUGUUUCUUUCCAGAAACAGAGAGAGCGGUGGGGCGUGAGGAGAAGAAGGAGAGUGGUUGAAGAAAAGAAGAAGAAGAGGGAAAAGAAGAGAGGAGGAAGAAGAGAGGAAGAAGAGGGAGAAGAGAAGAAGAUGAAGAAGAAGAAGAAGAGGAGGUGGCUGCAGCGAGGGCUGCAGCGAGAAGCUGUGGGGCGUGGGGAGAAGAAGAGAGGAAGAAGAGGGAGAAGAGAAGAAGAAGAAGAAGAAGAAGAAGAAGAAGAAGAAGAAGAAGAGAGGAGGAUAGCUGCGGCAAGGCUGCAGCGAGGAGGUGUGUGGCUUUGGGGAGGAAAAGGGAAGAGGAGAAGAAGAGAAGGAGAAGAAGAGGGAAAAGAGAGGCAGCUGCAGCAGCCAGGGCUGCAGCACCUCUGUUUCCCGCAGGUGGAAACAGAGGAGAGGAUGUGUGGGGCGUUGAGGAUGAAAAGGGAAGAAGAAGAAGAAGAAGAAGAAGAAGAAGAUAGCUGCGGCAAGGCUGCAGCGAGGAGAUGUGUGGCCUUGGGGAGGAAAAGGGAAGAGGGGAAGAGGAGAAGAAGAAGAAGAGGAAGAGAAAGAGGUGUGAUACCUCUGUUUCCUGCAGAGGAAACAGAGGAGAGGGUGUGUGUGACGCCGGGGAAGAAGGGGCUGCAGUUGCGGCGAUGGCAGCUGCAGCUGGAAGAGAAGAAGAAGAGGAAGAUGAGCAGGGGAGGAGGGAGAGGUUGCGGCCGUGGCUGCGGCCGCGACUGCAGCAGUUGCAGCGGGGAGAGAAGAAGAAGAGAGGAAGGAGAAGGAAGAGGAGAAGGGAAAGAAGUAGCUGCGGCUGCGGUUGUGGCAGCUGCAGCUAUGGCAGGGAAAGAGGAAGAGAAAAAGGAAAGGAAGAAGAAGAGAAAGGGAAGGAGAGGAAGAAGAGAGGAAGAGGAGAAGGGGCUGCAGCUGCGGCGAUGGCAGCUGCAGCUGUGGCAGGGAAAGAGAAAAAGGAAAGGAAGAAGAAGAGAAAGGGAAGGAGAGGAAGAAGAGAGGAAGAGGAGAAGGGGCUGCGGCUGCGAUGAUGGCAGCUGCAGCUGUGGCUGGGAAAGAAGAGAAGGAAAGGAAGAAGAAGAGAAAGGGAAGGAGAGGAAGAAGAGAGGAAGAGGAGAAGGGGUGGCAGCUGCGGCAGUGGCAGCUGCAGUUGGAAGAGGAGGAGGAAAUAGAGCAGGGGAGGAAGAAGAGGCUGCGACGUUGAAAUCAGUUUGUUGCAAACUCUGAGUGUGGUGGCUGCGGCCGUGGCUGCGACUCCGGCUGCGGCUGCGACGUUGGCUGCGGUAGCUGCGGCAGCGGUGGUGGCUGCAGUAGCUGCAGUAGCUGCUUUUGGGAAAGAGAAAGAGUAGGAACGAUAGAAGGGAAGAAGGAAAUAGUGCAGUGGAAGGGGGCUGCGGUUGUGACCGCAGUUGCGAUUGUGGCAGCGGCAGCGGCGGCGGCUGUGGCAGCUGCGUUUGGGAAAGAAAAAGAAGGAAUGAGAGUAAGAGAGAGCAGGUGACUGUGCCUCGAUGUUCGACACGUGAUGUAGUUACGAAGAAAGGAAGAAAACGGGAGCACAAAACGAAACAGAGAGAGGACACGGAGGAAAAGUAGAAAGAUUGGACUGGCACCUUCCUUGGAUAUUCAGAUCAAAAUAUUUGAAAGGUCAGCUUGUCACUCUUCGAGAUGUUUGAUUUGGGCUGAGGCAGUGGAUAGCUAUUCAGAAUAAUGGGCAAGUCUGGUUGGUUAUUACGAUAUUGUUGUAUAAGUAUGCCUUGUAUGUAAUGAAAUGUUGUCGAUGAACCGAAAUGGAUAUACUGUGUCAAAGUGUUAGGAGAUCUCUCUUAUUUGAAAUUUCUGAAUGUUAAGCCUAAUUUAUAAUGAUAUGAACUUGUGGUGAAUAGUUGGAGUUCUGAUUGUAUAAAUUAUUUAGCUUGUGGAUUUAUAAAUAUUGUUCAUGUUUGUCAA